GGUAACGUCGGGGCAGCAGGCGGGGUAGUAGGGGGGGCGGUAGCGUUAGUCGGAAUCACUGGGCGUAAAGGGUGCGUAGGCGUCCUCAUAAGGCUGCUGUGAAAGCCCACGGCUUAACCGUGGAACUGCAGGGGAAACUGUGAGGAUAGAGUGCUGAAGAGGUAGAUGGAAUUUCCGGUGUAGGGGUAAAAUGCGUAGAGAUCGGAAGGAAUACCGGUUGCGAAGGCGAUCUACUGGAAAAUGAUUGACGCUCAGAUGCGAAAGCGUGGGGAGCAAACAGGAUUAGAUACCCGAGUAGUC
rnacentral:rRNA from 1 species